rnacentral:rRNA from 1 species
UACGUAGGGUGCGAGCGUUAAUCGGAAUUACUGGGCGUAAAGCGUGCGCAGGCGGUUUUGUAAGCCAGAUGUGAAAUCCCCGGGCUUAACCUGGGAAUGGCAUUUGGGACUGCAAGGCUUGAGUGCGGCAGAGGAGACUGGAAUUCCUGGUGUAGCAGUGAAAUGCGUAGAUAUCAGGAGGAAUACCGAUGGCGAAGGCAGGUCUCUGGGUCAAAACUGACGCUCAUGCACGAAAGCGUGGGGAGCAAACAGG